CGGAAGUCGGCUGCCGGUGUGCGUGAACCCUGUGUGGAGAGGAAGGAGGAGUGUUUGUAGCCCCGACGUCGGUCAGCAGGCGCAGUGAAAGACAAAGAUGAAGACCCCCUGGAAGGCGUUGAAGGUGGUGAAGAGAUAGGCCAUGACCACGGACUCCUUAUUGAUGAAGAGCAGGCCGAAGGCCCAGGUGAGGCCCAGCAGGAAGAGCAGCGCGAUGGCCCCCAGGGCCCAGGAUCUGGGGGAGGGGACAGGAAUGUCAAAGUCCUUGCUAGUGGAGAAACCUCCCCCGCUGCUCUGGGUCCCUCUUCAGGAAGAGCAGCUCGGCCAGAAAGAGGUUGAUGCACAGGUUCUUGUGGAUGGUGUUGCGGUCGGUCUGCAACCCCCGCAAGAAGCAGAAGGUGGAGAUACAGAUGGCCAGGCAGACGAGGGAGAUCACGAUGCCCAC